rnacentral:rRNA from 1 species
ACUGCUAUCGGAUUGAUACUAAGCCAUGCGAGUCUUUGUAGCAAUACAAGGCGGACGGCUCAGUAACACGUAGUCAAUCUAACCUAUGGACGAGGAUAACCUCGGGAAACUGAGAAUAAUACUCGAUAGAUCAUUAUACCUGGAAUGGUUUAUGGUCCAAAUGAAUUCCGCCAUAGGGUGGGACUGCGGUCUAUCAGCUUGUUGGUGAGGUAAUGGCCCACCAAGGCUAUAACAGAUACGGGCUCUGAGAGGAGAGGCCCGGGGAUGGGUACUGAGACACGGACCCAGGCCCUAUGGGGCGCAGCAGGCGAGAAAACUUUGCAAUGUGCGAAAGCACGACAAGGUUAAUCCGAGUGGUUCCUGCUAAAGGAAUCUUUUGUUAGUCGUAACACCACUGAUGAAUAAGGGGUGGGCAAGUUCUGGUGUCAGCCGCCGCGGUAAAACCAGCACCUCAAGUGGUCAGGAGGAUUAUUGGGCCUAAAGCAUCCGUAGCCGGCUUUGUUAGUUUUCGGUUAAAUCUAUAUGCUCAACAUAUGGGCUGCCGGGAAUACUGCAAAGCUAGGGAGUGGGAGAGGUAGACGGUACUCCGUAGGAAGGGGUAAAAUCCUUUGAUCUAUGGAUGACCACCUGUGGCGAAGGCGGUCUACCAGAACACGUCCGACGGUGAGGGAUGAAAGCUGGGGGAGCAAACCGGAUUAGAUACCCGGGUAGUCCCAGCUGUAAACUACGCAAACUCAGUGAUGCAUUGGCUUGUGGCCAGUGCAGUGCCGCAGGGAAGCCGUUAAGUUUGCCGCCUGGGAAGUACGUACGCAAGUAUGAAACUUAAAGGAAUUGGCGGGGGAGCACCACAAGGGGUGAAG